CCUACGGGAGGCAGCAGUAAGGAAUAUUGGUCAAUGGAGGCAACUCUGAACCAGCCAUGCCGUGUGCAGGAAGACUGCCCUAUGGGUUGUAAACUGCUUUUAUCCGGGAAUAAACCUUUCUACGUGUAGGAAGCUGAAUGUACCGGAAGAAUAAGGAUCGGCUAACUCCGUGCCAGCAGCCGCGGUAAU
rnacentral:rRNA from 1 species